AACGUAGGAGACGAGCGUUAUCCGGAGUUACUGGGCGUAAAGGGCGUGUAGGCGGUUUGUUAAGUCUGGCGUGAAAGCUCUCGGCUAAACCGGGAGAGGUCGUUGGAUACUGGCGAACUAGAGGAUGGUAGAGGCGUGUGGAAUUCCGGGUGUAGUGGUGAAAUGCGCAGAUAUCAGGAGGAACACCAAUUGCGAAGGCAGCUCGCUGGGACGUUACUGACGCUGAGACGCGAAAGCGUGGGGAGCAAACAGG
rnacentral:rRNA from 1 species